CCUACGGGUGGCAGCAGUGGGGAAUAUUGGACAAUGGGCGAAAGCCUGAUCCAGCCAUGCCGCGUGUGUGAAGAAGGCCUUCGGGUUGUAAAGCACUUUCAGUGGGGAAGAAAGCCUUGGGGCUAAUACCCUCGAGGAAGGACAUCACCCACAGAAGAAGCACCGGCUAACUCCGUGCCAGCAGCCGCGGUAAUACGGAGGGUGCGAGCGUUAAUCGGAAUUACUGGGCGGAAAGCGCGCGUAGGCGGUCUGAUAAGCCGGUUGUGAAAGCCCCGGGCUCAACCUGGGAACGGCAUCCGGAACUGUCAGGCUAGAGUGCAGGAGAGGAAGGUAGAAUUCCCGGUGUAGCGGUGAAAUGCGUAGAGAUCGGGAGGAAUACCAGUGGCGAAGGCGGCCUUCUGGACUGACACUGACGCUGAGGUGCGAAAGCGUGGGUAGCAAACAGGAUUAGAUACCCCAGUAGU
rnacentral:rRNA from 1 species